AUGGCUUGCAGCGACAACUUGGAGAUAAUUAAUUGCAGAAUUGUUAUAGUUCAAGUGACCAGAAAAGAACUAUAUUUUCCAGGCGGAGUAGGUGGGCAAGUGAGAGGUGGUCAUUGGCGGAGGCACAGUGGAGGAAAAUACAAGUGCAAGACGAUCAUAAGCCGCUGUCGAUUGAAAAUUAAGAAAUCGAAAUCAAUAGGGAUGCACUGCAAUAUUUCUCCUCCAGGUUCAAAGUUUGAGAGAAGAGGGAACCCUCCACCCCUAUUUGCCGUCCAAUCUGGCAUGGCGAUGUGUGCCAGGCAGUUUCAUUAA
rnacentral:rRNA from 1 species